UGCUCGAGUGGCGAACGGGUGAGUAACACGUGGGUGAUCUGCCCUGCACUUCGGGAUAAGCUUGGGAAACUGGGUCUAAUACCGGAUAGGACCAUCGUUUAGUGUCGGUGGCGGAAAGUUUUUUCGGUGUGGGAUGAGCUCGCGGCCUAUCAGCUUGUUGGUGGGGUAAUGGCCUACCAAGGCGUCGACGGGUAGCCGGCCUGAGAGGGUGUACGGCCACAUUGGGACUGAGAUACGGCCCAG
rnacentral:rRNA from 1 species